rnacentral:rRNA from 1 species
AGUGAACGCUGGCGGUAGGCCUAACACAUGCAAGUCGAACGGCAGCACAGUAAGAGCUUGCUCUUACGGGUGGCGAGUGGCGGACGGGUGAGGAAUACAUCGGAAUCUACUUUUUCGUGGGGGAUAACGUAGGGAAACUUACUCUAAUACCGCAUACGACCUACGGGUGAAAGCAGGGGAUCUUCGGACCUUGCGCGAUUGAAUGAGCCGAUGUCGGAUUAGCUAGUUGGCGGGGUAAAGGCCCACCAAGGCGACGAUCCGUAGCUGGUCUGAGAGGAUGAUCAGCCACACUGGAACUGAAACACGGUCCAGACUACUACGGGAGGCAGCAGUGGGGAAUAUUGGCCAAUGGGCGGGAGCCUGAUCCAGCCAUCCCGCGUGGGUGAAGAAGGCCUUCGGGUUGUAAAGACCUUUUGUUGGGAAAGAACAGCAGCAGGUUAAUACCACGCUGUUCUGACGGUACCCAAAGAAUAAGCACCGGCUAACUUCGUG